rnacentral:tRNA from 1 species
GCGGGGGUGCCCGAGUCUGGCCAAACACAGACGUCUUAAAAACCCCCUGAUUCAUAUUCAAACCUAGGCGUCGUGGGCUAAAGGGGCACGGUUGAGGACGGCGAAGCAAUCUUCGGUCCUUACUUGCUUUGCAAGCAAAUGCCGUGUGGCGUAGGCCUUCGCGAGUUCAAGUCUCGUCCCCCGCA